GUCACACUUAAGGUUCCUGAAACGCUGAAAAAAAUAACUCACAGCACUAUGAUAAGUCUCCCCUCCCUGACCCCAGACUAUACAUUAUCUAGCAGCUGUACAAUUAGGUUAUCACACACCUUCGCCGGCAGUCUCGUCACACUUAAGGUUCUUGAAAUGCUGAAAAAAAUAACUCACAGCACUAUAAGAUAAGUCUCCCUUCCCUGACCCCAGACUAUAUAUUUUCUAGCAGCUGUACAAUUAGGUCAUCACACACCUUCGCCGGCAGUCUCGUCACCCUUAAGGUUAUUGAAACGGACCCAUAGCAUUAUAAGGUAAAUCUCCUCUCCCUGACCCCAGACUAUACAUUAUCUAGCAGCUGUACAAUUAGGUCAUCACACACCUAGGCCGGCAG